rnacentral:rRNA from 1 species
GAUGAACGCUAGCGACAGGCCUAACACAUGCAAGUCGAGGGGCAGCAUAAAGGUAGCAAUACUCUGGUGGCGACCGGCGCACGGGUGAGUAACACGUAUGCAACCUACCUGUAAGAGGGGAAUAACCCGGAGAAAUUCGGACUAAUACCGCAUAAUACCACGAAUUCGCAUGGAUUUGUGUUUAAACAUUUAUGGCUUACAGAUGGGCAUGCGUAUGAUUAGCUAGUUGGUAGGGUAACGGCCUACCAAGGCAACGAUCAUUAGGGGUUCUGAGAGGAAGGUCCCCCACACUGGUACUGAGACACGGACCAGACUCCUACGGGAGGCAGCAGUGAGGAAUAUUGGUCAAUGGGCGAGAGCCUGAACCAGCCAAGUCGCGUGAAGGAAGAAGGUUCUAUGGAUUGUAAACUUCUUUUGUAAGGGAAUAAAAAGAGUUACGUGUAACUUAUUGUAUGUACUUUACGAAUAAGGAUCGGCUAACUCCGUGCCAGCCGCCGCGGUAACAC